rnacentral:rRNA from 1 species
AUUGAACGCUGGCGGCAGGCCUAACACAUGCAAGUCGAACGGUAACAGGAAGAAGCUUGCUUCUUUGCUGACGAGUGGCGGACGGGUGAGAAAUGUCUGGGAAACUGCUUGAUGGAGGGGGAUAACUACUGGAAACGGUAGUUAAUACCGCAUAACGUCGCAAGACCAAAGAGGGGGAGUUUCGGGCGUCUUGCCAUCGGAUGUGCCCAGAUGGGAUUAGCUAGUAGGUGGGGUAACGGCUCACCUAGGCGACGAUCCCUAGCUGGUCUGAGAGGAUGACCGGCCACACUGGAACUGAGACACGGUCCAGACUCCUACGGGAGGCAGCAGUGGGGAAUAUUGCGCAAUGGGCGCAAGCCUGAUGCAGCCAUGCCGCGUGUGUGAAGAAGGCCUUCGGGUUGUAAAGUACUUUCAGCGGGGAGGAAGGGAGUAAAGUUAAUACCUUUGCUCAUUGACGUUACCCGAAGAAGAAGCACCGGCUAACUCCGUG